rnacentral:rRNA from 1 species
UACGUAGGUGGCAAGCGUUGUUCGGAAUUACUGGGCGUAAAGGGCGCGUAGGUGGACUUUUGAGUCAGACGUGAAAUCCCCCGGCUUAACCUGGGAACUGCGUCUGAUACUGGAUGGCUUGAAUUCGGGAGAGGGAUGUGGAAUUCCAGGUGUAGCGGUGAAAUGCGUAGAUAUCUGGAGGAACACCGGUGGCGAAGGCGACAUCCUGGACCGGUAUUGACGCUGAGGCGCGAAAGCCAGGGGAGCAAACGGG